rnacentral:rRNA from 1 species
UGCAGUGCAGCACGAGUCGCGCGAGCGACGAGGCUGCGAAAGGCUCAUUAAAUCAGUCGUGGUUUACGUGGUCGUGCGACGGGGCGCGAGCGCCGUCGAAGCGGAUAACUGUGGAAAAUCUAGAGCUAAUACGUGCAAAAGAGCGCCGCCGCUUGCCGGGAGGCGCGCAUUUAUCAGCCUACGCGUCGGCCGGGCGCCUUCGGGUGCCCGUCGUCCGUGGCGACUCUGGAUAACUGAAAGCGGAUCGCCGAUUCUCUCGAAGAUCGGCGACGAACCAUUCGAGCGUCUGACCUAUCAACUGUAGUCGGUACGGUCUCGGCCUACCGAGGUGCUCACGGGUGACGGGGAAUCGGGGUCCGAUUCCGGAGAGGGAGCCCGAGAAACGGCUGCCACUUCCAAGGAAGGCAGCAGGCGCGCAAAUUACCCACUUCAGACUCUGAGAGGUAGUGACGAAAAAUAGCGGCGCCGGGCCUUAACGGGCGUCGGCGAUCGCAAUGAGCUCGGCGAAAAACACCGGCGUUCGCGUUCGGCCUUUGCGGGUCGGGCGCGUCGCGAGUAUCGAACGGAGGGCAAGUCUGGUGCCAGCAGCCGCGGUAAUUCCAGCUCCGUGAGCGUAUGCUUAAGCUGUUGCGGUUAAAAAGCUCGUAGUCAAAAGCAGGCUUUUUGAUCGCAGGCGAGCGCGCGUCCGGGACGCUUCCCGGCGCCGUCGCCGGCCAAGAGGCCAUACGUCGCGGUCGACGGGCGCGCUUCCCUUUGCGGGGGGGCGCGCUGCCGGUCGGCUCGCGCUUUGCCCUGACCAAAUCGAAGUGAAUCAGGGCGGGUCGAGCAGAAAGCGCCUUUCCCGGCGACGGGAUCGGAGCGAGACCCAGAACGAUGUCGCACGGAACGAAGAAAGAGGGCCGCGGCUUCGCCGCCGGCGCCGAGACAAGCGCGUGGCAAUGAUCGAGAGAGACGGACGGGGGCAUUCGUAUUGCGCCGGGAGAGGUGAAAUUCGUGGAUCGGCGCAAG